rnacentral:rRNA from 1 species
AAUGAACGCUAGCGGCAGGCCUAACACAUGCAAGUCGAACGAGUGGCGGACGGGUGAGUAAAGUCUGGGAAACUGCCUGAUGGAGGGGGCAAAAUACUGGAAAAGGUAGCUAAUACCGCAUACCAUAGGAUGUGCCCAGAUGGGCUUAGCUAGUAUGUGUGGUAACGGCUCACCUAGGCGACGAUCCCUCGCUGGUCUGAGAGGAUGACCAGUCGUACUGGACGGUAGACACGGUCCAUACGCCUUCGUGAGUCAGUAGGGGGGAAUAUUGUACACUGGGCGCGAGCCUUAUGCAGCCAUGCCGCGUGUAUGAAGAAGGCCUUUGGGUUGUAAAGUACUUGCAGCGGGGAGGCGUUACCCGCAGAAGAAGCACCGGCUAACUCCGUGCCAGCAGCCGCGGUAAUAC